GCUUCUACCACAGUGACAUUCUACCUAAACCACAGGUCCAGACUCAAAGGAGUCAAGGACUACAGACAGAAACUGUGAGGCAAGGUAAGCUUUCUCCAUUCAAGAGGUUCCUCUUAGAUAUUUAGUUACAGCAAUGAAAGCCUACCAAUUGUCUUUUUCAGAAUUCUUGGUUAACUUUCCUGACAUAUAUAAGACCACCCCGAUGUGUUGUGGCUGUGCCCAUCUGUUUGAGACUCUUCAAACACCUCCUAAUUUGUUUCAAAAAGAUUUAUGACAUGUCUGAAUCCAUGCCUGAUAUUUUAGAUUCAACCUGACCUGUUUGAGCCUUUAUAAUAGCUCAUCUAACAGCUUUCCUAAGGAACUUUUUGACAUCUUUGAGAGCCUAAGUUGUUUGAAACCCUGAUUGAUUUAGUGGAUGAAUUUCCUGGUGUAGCUAACUAAGACUCUUUCUAAUAUAUUAGCAAAUCUUAUUGACUACUGGAGCUAUGCGUUAUGACUUCCCCAUAAAACAUUUGAGACUUUCUUGACUUGCUGAGACUCUUCCUAACAACUUGAGGCCCAUCAUGAGAUAACGAGAACUUCAUAUCAGUUUUAGAUCGUUCCUUUUGUGUUUGAAAUCAUCCCUUGCCUAGUGGACACUAUUUCUGAUUUGUUAAAUGCCUUUCUCACAUGGCAGAGACACUCCUUAGGGUGUUAGAAAUAGCGACUGAUAUAAUUAAUCUCUUCCUGUGAGUCCGAAACACUUUCAGAUAGAUCAAAGGCUCUUCCUAUAGUAAGCCCUUUUCUACAUGUCCGAGACUUGUACAGAUGACUUUCACACUCUUCCUGACUUGUUUAUUAUAGCAAUGGAGCAUGCUGUACCAGCUUAUGAGGACCUGUUUUGAACAAACACCAAGAUUGAUAAUGUGCCCCUAAGGGGAAGCGUCUAUACAGCCGGGUUCUUCAAGGAUACAUCAAAGGGGCAAGAUGGGCCAUCUUCUAGACUAUAUGUCCAAGG
rnacentral:lncRNA from 1 species